rnacentral:rRNA from 1 species
AUACGGAGGGUGCAAGCGUUACUCGGAAUCACUGGGCGUAAAGCGCGCGCAGGCGGCUAUUUAAGUUGGAUGUGAAAGCCUACGGCUCAACCGUAGAACUGCAUCCAAAACUAUUUAGCUAGAGUGUGGGAGAGGAAGAUGGAAUUAGUUGUGUAGGGGUAAAAUCCGUAGAGAUAACUAGGAAUACCAAAAGCGAAGGCAAUCUUCUGAAACACUACUGACGCUGAGGCGCGAAAGCGUGGGGAGCAAACAGGAUUAGAAACCCCAGUAGUCC